GCUAGUAAUCGCGAAUCAGAAUGUCGCGGUGAAUACGUUCCCGGGCCUUGUACACACCGCCCGUCACACCAUGAGAGUCGAUAACACCCGAAGCCUGUGAGCUAACCGUAAGGAGGCAGCAGUCGAAGGUGGGGUUGAUGAUUGGGGUGAAGUCGUAACAAGGUAGC
rnacentral:rRNA from 1 species